rnacentral:misc_RNA from 1 species
UCCGAGUUAACCCCGGCAGUCUCCCGCGAGUCCCCAACUCAAUGCUGGCAACACGGGAUAAGGGUUGCGCUCGUUGCGGGACUUAACCCAACAUCUCACGACACGAGCUGACGACAACCAUGCACCACCUGUACACCGACCUUGCGGGGCACCUGUUUCCAGGUCUUUCCGGUUCAUGUCAAGCCUUGGUAAGGUUCUUCGCGUUGCAUCGAAUUAAUCCGCAUGCUCCGCCGCUUGUGCGGGCCCCCGUCAAUUCCUUUGAGUUUUAGCCUUGCGGCCGUACUCCCCAGGCGGGGCACUUAAUGCGUUAGCUACGGCACGGAUCCCGUGGAAGGAAACCCACACCUAGCGCCCACCGUUUACGGCGUGGACUAC